rnacentral:lncRNA from 1 species
AAAUUCAUUCUUGCAGGGGGAGUUCGCUCAUUCAGGGGGAGUUUUGCUGAAAUUUGUGAGUUUUGCUGCUGAGAUUGCUUUUGGGAGAUUGAUAUGGCUUCUGAUUCACUUUGGGGAGAGUGAAUUUCUGUCUUGAUUGUGUCGAGCCUAGUUUUUUCGCUAGCCCAUGUCUUUGGGGAUUAAGAUCGUUUCUUUUUCUUUCUUUUUAUUUUUCUUUUUCAGUACGAAUAAAU